GACGAACGCUGGCGGCGUGCCUAAUACAUGCAAGUAGAACGCACAGUUUAUACCGUAGCUUGCUACACCAUAGACUGUGAGUUGCGAACGGGUGAGUAACGCGUAGGUAACCUGCCUGGUAGCGGGGGAUAACUAUUGGAAACGAUAGCUAAUACCGCAUAAUAUUGAUUAUUGCAUGAUAAUUGAUUGAAAGAUGCUAUUGCAUCACUACCAGAUGGACCUGCGUUGUAUUAGCUAGUAGGUGAGGUAACGGCUCACCUAGGCGACGAUACAUAGCCGACCUGAGAGGGUGAUCGGCCACACUGGGACUGAGACACGGCCCAGACUCCUACGGGAGGCAGCAGUAGGGAAUCUUCGGCAAUGGACGAAAGUCUGACCGAGCAACGCCGCGUGAGUGAAGAAGGUUGUCGGAUCGGAAAGCUCUGUUGUAAGAGAAGAACGGGUGUGAGAGUGGAAAGUUCACACUGUGACGGUAUCUUACCAGAAAGGGACGGCUAACUACGUG
rnacentral:rRNA from 1 species